CCUACGGGUGGCUGCAGUGAGGAAUAUUGGUCAAUGGGCGCGAGCCUGAACCAGCCAAGCCGCGUGAUCGAAGACGGUCCUAUGGAUUGUAAACCUCUUUUGUCGGGGAGCAAAAGACGCCACGCGUGGCGUUCCGAGAGUACCCGACGAAAAAGCAUCGGCUAACUCCGUGCCAGCAGCAGCGGUAAUCCGGAGGAUGCGAGCGUUAUCCGGAUUUAUGGGGUUCAAAGGGUGCGCAGGGGGAAGGAAAGGUCAGCGGUAAAAUUGAGAGGCUCAACCUCGUCGCGCCGUUGAAACUGGUGUUCUUGAGUGAGUGAGAGGUAUGCGGAAUGCGUGGUGUAGCGGUGAAAUGCAUAGAUAUCACGAAGAACUCCGAUUGCGAAGGCAGCAUACCGGCGCUCAACUGACGCUCAGGCACGAAAGUGUGGGUAUCGAACAGGAUUAGAUACCCUUGUAGUC
rnacentral:rRNA from 1 species